rnacentral:rRNA from 1 species
AAAUUGAAGAGUUUGAUCAUGGCUCAGAUUGAACGCUGGCGGCAGGCCUAACACAUGCAAGUCGAACGGUAACAGGAAGCAGCUUGCUGCUUUGCUGACGAGUGGCGGACGGGUGAGUAAUGUCUGGGAAACUGCCUGAUGGAGGGGGAUAACUACUGGAAACGGUGGCUAAUACCGCAUAACGUCGCAAGACCAAAGAGGGGGACCUUCGGGCCUCUUGCCAUCAGAUGUGCCCAGAUGGGAUUAGCUUGUUGGUGAGGUAACGGCUCACCAAGGCGACGAUCCCUAGCUGGUCUGAGAGGAUGACCAGCCACACUGGAACUGAGACACGGUCCAGACUCCUACGGGAGGCAGCAGUGGGGAAUAUUGCACAAUGGGCGCAAGCCUGAUGCAGCCAUGCCGCGUGUAUGAAGAAGGCCUUCGGGUUGUAAAGUACUUUCAGCGGGGAGGAAGGUGUUGUGGUUAAUAACCGCAGCAAUUGACGUUACCCGCAGAAGAAGCACCGGCUAACUCCGUGCCAGCAGCCGCGGUAAUACGGAGGGUGCAAGCGUUAAUCGGAAUUACUGGGCGUAAAGCGCACGCAGGCGGUCUGUCAAGUCGGAUGUGAAAUCCCCGGGCUCAACCUGGGAACUGCAUUCGAAACUGGCAGGCUUGAGUCUUGUAGAGGGGGGUAGAAUUCCAGGUGUAGCGGUGAAAUGCGUAGAGAUCUGGAGGAAUACCGGUGGCGAAGGCGGCCCCCUGGACAAAGACUGACGCUCAGGUGCGAAAGCGUGGGGAGCAAACAGGAUUAGAUACCCUGGUAGUCCACGCCGUAAACGAUGUCUACUUGGAGGUUGUGCCCUUGAGGCGUGGCUUCCGGAGCUAACGCGUUAAGUAGACCGCCUGGGGAGUACGGCCGCAAGGUUAAAACUCAAAUGAAUUGACGGGGGCCCGCACAAGCGGUGGAGCAUGUGGUUUAAUUCGAUGCAACGCGAAGAACCUUACCUGGUCUUGACAUCCACAGAACUUUCCAGAGAUGGACUGGUGCCUUCGGGAACUGUGAGACAGGUGCUGCAUGGCUGUCGUCAGCUCGUGUUGUGAAAUGUUGGGUUAAGUCCCGCAACGAGCGCAACCCUUAUCCUUUGUUGCCAGCGGUCCGGCCGGGAACUCAAAGGAGACUGCCAGUGAUAAACUGGAGGAAGGUGGGGAUGACGUCAAGUCAUCAUGGCCCUUACGACCAGGGCUACACACGUGCUACAAUGGCGCAUACAAAGAGAAGCGACCUCGCGAGAGCAAGCGGACCUCAUAAAGUGCGUCGUAGUCCGGAUUGGAGUCUGCAACUCGACUCCAUGAAGUCGGAAUCGCUAGUAAUCGUGGAUCAGAAUGCCACGGUGAAUACGUUCCCGGGCCUUGUACACACCGCCCGUCACACCAUGGGAGUGGGUUGCAAAAGAAGUAGGUAGCUUAACCUUCGGGAGGGCGCUUACCACUUUGUGAUUCAUGACUGGGGUGAAGUCGUAACAAGGUAACCGUAGGGGAACCUGC